GAUGAACGCUGGCGGCGUGCCUAAUACAUGCAAGUCGAGCGAACAGAUGAGGAGCUUGCUCCUCUGACGUUAGCGCGGACGGGUGAGUAACACGUGGAUAACCUACCUAUAAGACUGGGAUAACUUCGGGAAACCGGAGCUAAUACCGGAUAAUAUAUUGAACCGCAUGGUUCAAUAGUGAAAGACGGUUUUGCCGUCACUUAUAGAUGGAUCCGCGCCGCAUUAGCUAGUUGGUAAGGUAACGGCUUACCAAGGCAACGAUGCGUAGCCGACCUGAGAGGGUGAUCGGCCACACUGGAACUGAGACACGGUCCAGACUCCUACGGGAGGCAGCAGUAGGGAAUCUUCCGCAAUGGGCGAAAGCCUGACGGAGCAACGCCGCGUGAGUGAUGAAGGUCUUCGGAUCGUAAAACUCUGUUAUUAGGGAAGAACAAAUGUGUAAGUAACUAUGCACGUCUUGACGGUACCUAAUCAGAAAGCCACGGCUAACUACGUG
rnacentral:rRNA from 1 species